rnacentral:lncRNA from 1 species
UGGGGACUUAGUUCAAAUGGCACAACUCUUUUUUGACUACGCAUGGCGGCUGCAAAUGACCAACGCAAUAAAAAUUGAAAUUAAAAGCUCAUAAUGAUUUUUUUCACAAAGCGUUAUUCUAAUUACUUUACUGUAUGGGGAGGGACGGAUUGAAUUAGGAUGCAAAGGGGCAGUUGUGUUACUUUGGCCAACAGACUUAACUUAUAUCUGGACAAAUGUCUAUUCAUUAGCUUGAGUGAUAACGAUAUGAAAACUAUUUUGAUAGGGUUACUAUUCAAUUAAGUCAGGUUAGACAUACACUUCUCUGUCAAUACCCGUGUCUUUGUUAAAAAUGGAAAUUAAAAUAUGAUAAGGUAGAUGUCAUCAUAAAUAUACAAUAAUAAUCAUUGACAUGGAAGUUUUGGACAGGAAUAAAACACUUGUUCCCCUAAUUAAAUAUGUGUUCCCCUAAUUAAAUAUGUGUGUAGAAUCCUUAUAUUGCUCAGAAGCAACUGGAUCAAGUUAAGGGAAAGACAACAAACAUCACAUUUUCUUC